rnacentral:rRNA from 1 species
AUUGAACGCUGGCGGCAGGCCUAACACAUGCAAGUCGAAUGGUAACAGGAAACAGCUUGCUGUUUCGCUGACGAGUGGCGGACGGGUGAGUAAUGUCUGGGAAACUGCCUGAUGGAGGGGGAUAACUACUGGAAACGGUAGCUAAUACCGCAUAACGUCGCAAGACCAAAGAGGGGGACCUUCGGGCCUCUUGCCAUCAGAUGUGCCCAGAUGGGAUUAGCUAGUAGGUGGGGUAACGGCUCACCUAGGCGACGAUCCCUAGCUGGUCUGAGAGGAUGACCAGCCACACUGGAACUGAGACACGGUCCAGACUCCUACGGGAGGCAGCAGUGGGGAAUAUUGCACAAUGGGCGCAAGCCUGUUGCAGCCAUGCCGCGUGUAUGAAGAAGGCCUUCGGGUUGUAAAGUACUUUCAGCGGGGAGGAAGGGAGUAAAGUUAAUACCUUUGCUCAUUGACGUUACCCGCAGAAGAAGCACCGGCUAACUCCGUG